rnacentral:rRNA from 1 species
AUUGAACGCUGGCGGCAGGCCUAACACAUGCAAGUCGAGCGGAUGAAGCGUGCUUUCUCCUGGUUCCAGCGGCGGACGCGUGAGUAUUGCCUAGGAAUCUCCCUGGUUGUGCGGUAUAACGUCCGGAGACGGCCGCUGCUACUGCAUACUUCCUGCGCCUGCAACUUGGGGAUCUUCGGACCUCAUGCUCUCAGAUGAGCCUAGGUCGGAUUUGCUAGUUGGUGGGGUAAAGGCCUACUUAGCCGACGAUCCGUAACUGGUCUGAUAGGAUGAUCAGUCACACUGGAGGUGAGACACGGUCCAUACGCCUACGGGAGGCAGCAGUGGGGAAUAUGGGACAAUGGGCGGAAGCCUGGUACAGCGAGGCCGAGUGUGAGAAAGAGGUCUUCGGAUUGUAAAGCACUUUAAGGGGGGAGGAAGCGCAGUAAGUUAAUACCAUGCUGGAGUGACGUUAAUAACAGAAUAAGCACCGGCUAACUUCGUG